rnacentral:misc_RNA from 1 species
UAAGGACACCAUCUUCUAAUGAACA